rnacentral:rRNA from 1 species
GAUGAACGCUAGCGGCAGGCCUAACACAUGCAAGUCGAGGGGCAGCACGUCUUCGGAUGGUGGCGACCGGCGCACGGGUGCGUAACGCGUAUGCAACCUACCUCUUACAGUGGGAUAGCCCAGAGAAAUUUGGAUUAAUACCGCAUAGUAUACAGAUUCAGCAUUGGGACUGUAUUAAACAUUUAUGGGUAAGAGAUGGGCAUGCGUUCUAUUAGUUAGUUGGAGUGGUAACGGCACCCCAAGACAGCGAUAGAUAGGGGCCCUGAGAGGGGGAUCCCCCACACUGGUACUGAGACACGGACCAGACUCCUACGGGAGGCAGCAGUGAGGAAUAUUGGACAAUGGGCGAGAGCCUGAUCCAGCCAUGCCGCGUGCA